UACAGAGGGGGCGAGCGUUGUUCGGAAUUACUGGGCGUAAAGGGCGCGUAGGCGGCCAACUAAGUCAGACGUGAAAUCCCUCGGCUCAACCGGGGAAUUGCGUCUGAUACUGGAUGGCUUGAAUUCGGGAGAGGGAUGCGGAAUUCCAGGUGUAGCGGUGAAAUGCGUAGAUAUCUGGAGGAACACCGGUGGCGAAGGCGGCAUCCUGGACCGAGAUUGACGCUGAUGCGCGAAAGCCAGGGGAGCAAACGGG
rnacentral:rRNA from 1 species